AACGAACGCUGGCGGCAGGCCUAACACAUGCAAGUCGAACGCCGUAGCAAUACGGAGUGGCAGACGGGUGAGUAACACGUGGGAACGUACCCUUCGGUUCGGGAUAACUCAGGGAAACUUGAGCUAAUACCGGAUACGUCCGAGAGGAGAAAGAUUUAUUGCCGAGGGAUCGGCCCGCGUCUGAUUAGCUUGUUGGUGAGGUAACGGCUCACCAAGGCGACGAUCAGUAGCUGGUCNGAGAGGAUGAUCAGCCACAUUGGGACUGAGACACGGCCCAAACUCCUACGGGAGGCAGCAGUGGGGAAUAUUGGACAAUGGGCGCAAGCCUGAUCCAGCCAUGCCGCGUGAGUGAUGAAGGCCCUAGGGUUGUAAAGCUCUUUUACCC
rnacentral:rRNA from 1 species